rnacentral:rRNA from 1 species
GAUGAACGCUGGCGGCGUGCCUAAUACAUGCAAGUCGAGCGAACGGACGAGAAGCUUGCUUCUCUGAUGUUAGCGGCGGACGGGUGAGUAACACGUGGAUAACCUACCUAUAAGACUGGGAUAACUUCGGGAAACCGGAGCUAAUACCGGAUAAUAUUUUGAACCGCAUGGUUCAAAAGUGAAAGACGGUCUUGCUGUCACUUAUAGAUGGAUCCGCGCUGCAUUAGCUAGUUGGUAAGGUAACGGCUUACCAAGGCAACGAUGCAUAGCCGACCUGAGAGGGUGAUCGGCCACACUGGAACUGAGGCACGGUCCAGACUCCUACGGGAGGCAGCAGUAGGGAAUCUUCCGCAAUGGGCGAAAGCCUGACGGAGCAACGCCGCGUGAGUGAUGAAGGUCCUCGGAUCGUAAAACUCUGUUAUUAGGGAAGAACAUAUGUGUAAGUAACUGUGCACAUCUUGACGGUACCUAAUCAGAAAGCCACGGCUAACUACGUG